rnacentral:rRNA from 1 species
GAAGCCUUCGGGCUUAGUGGCGCACGGGUGCGUAACGUUUCUCAAUCUGCCCUUGGGAAUAAGAAUAACAGUUAGAAAUGACUGCUAAUACCGGAUGAUGACGUAAGUCCAAAGAUUUAUCGCCCAAGGAUGAGCCCGCGUAGGAUUAGGUAGUUGGUGGGGUAAAGGCUCACCAAGCCGACGAUCCUUAGCUGGUCUGACAGGAUGAUCAGCCACACUGGGACUGAGACACGGCCCAUACUCCUACGGGAGGCA